GGUGAGAUGGCCGAGCGGUCUAAGGCGCCAGACUAAGGUACUGGCUGUUCAAUCUGGUCCGAAAGGGCGUGGGUUCGAAUCCCACUCUCAUCA